UGGCGGCAGGCUUAACACAUGCAAGUCGAGCGGUAACAGAGAGUAGCUUGCUACUUUGCUGACGAGCGGCGGACGGGUGAGUAACGCGUAGAAAUCUGCCUGGUAGUGGGGGAUAGCCCAGAGAAAUUUGGAUUAAUACCGCAUACGCCCUACGGGGGAAAGCAGGGGACCUUCGGGCCUUGCGCUAUCAGAUGAGUCUGCGUCGGAUUAGCUUGUUGGUGAGGUAAUGGCUCACCAAGGCGACGAUCCGUAGCUGGUCUGAGAGGAUGAUCAGCCACACUGGGACUGAGACACGGCCCAGACUCCUACGGGAGGCAGCAGUGGGGAAUAUUGCACAAUGGGCGAAAGCCUGAUGCAGCCAUGCCGCGUGUGUGAAGAAGGCCUUAGGGUUGUAAAGCACUUUCAGCAGUGAGGAAAGGUUGUAGCUUAAUACGCUAUAGCUGUGACGUUAACUGCAGAAGAAGGACCGGCUAACUCCGU
rnacentral:rRNA from 2 species